GUGCUCACUUCGGUACACAUAUAUUAAAAUUGGAACAAUACAGAGAACAUUAGUAUGGCCCCUGUGCAAGGAUACAUGCAAAUUCGUGAAGCAUUCCAUAUUUUU